AUUGAACGCUGGCGGCAGGCCUAACACAUGCAAGUCGAGCGGAUGAAGGGAGCUUGCUCCUGGAUUCAGCGGCGGACGGGUGAGUAAUGCCUAGGAAUCUGGCUGGUAGUGGGGGAUAACGUCCGGAAACGGGCGCUAAUACCACAUACGUCCUGAGGGAGAAAGUGGGGGAUCUUCGGACCUCACGCUAUCAGAUGAGCCUAGGUCGGAUUAGCUAGUUGGUGGGGUAAAGGCCUACCAAGGCGACGAUCCGUAACUGGUCUGAGAGGAUGAUCAGUCACACUGGAACUGAGACACGGUCCAGACUCCUACGGGAGGCAGCAGUGGGGAAUAUUGGACAAUGGGCGAAAGCCUGAUCCAGCCAUGCCGCGUGUGUGAAGAAGGUCUUCGGAUUGUAAAGCACUUUAAGUUGGGAGGAAGGGCAGUAAGUUAAUACCUUGCUGUUUUGACGUUACCAACAGAAUAAGCACCGGCUAACUUCGUG
rnacentral:rRNA from 1 species